UGGGGAAUCUUGCGCAAUGCGCGAAAGCGUGACGCAGCAACGCCGCGUGGGGGAAGAAGGCUUUCGGGUUGUAAACCCCUUUCAGUUGGGACGAAGCUUCUCCGGUGAAUAGCCGGACGGAGUGACGGUACCUUCACAAGAAGCACCGGCUAACUACGUGCCAGCAGCCGCGGUAAUACGUAGGGUGCAAGCGUUGUCCGGAAUUAUUGGGCGUAAAGAGCGUGUAGGCGGCCCCAUUAGUCCGCUGUGAAAGUCCAGGGCUCAACCCUGGAAUGCCGGUGGAUACUGUGGGGCUAGAGUCCGGAAGGGGCGAGUGGAAUUCCUGGUGUAGCGGUGAAAUGCGCAGAUAUCAGGAGGAACACCAAUGGCGAAGGCAGCUCGCUGGGACGUGACUGACGCUGAGACGCGAAAGCGUGGGGAGCAAACAGG
rnacentral:rRNA from 1 species